UACGUAGGGUGCAAGCGUUAAUCGGAAUUACUGGGCGUAAAGCGUGCGCAGGCGGUUGUGUAAGUCUGUCGUGAAAUCCCCGGGCUCAACCUGGGAAUUGCGAUGGAGACUGCACGGCUAGAGUGUGUCAGAGGGGGGUAGAAUUCCACGUGUAGCAGUGAAAUGCGUAGAUAUGUGGAGGAACACCGACGGCGAAGGCAGCCCCCUGGGAUAACACUGACGCUCAUGCACGAAAGCGUGGGGAGCAAACAGG
rnacentral:rRNA from 1 species